CUAUGAAAUCGAUCUCGAGCAUUUCAAAAUUUAAGAUUUAGUGUUUUAAUUUGAAACAUCUUUGUACUACGCACCGAUCACUUCAUUGGAUGUAAAGAGUACGUUAUCUAUGUAUAAAAAUAUUCUGUGGGACAAUAAAGUCCAUAACUGCAAAAAACCUACUGAAAUAUACGCGUCCGAAAAAACACGUUCGCCACCCGCGGUCACGCCGACCCCUCGACCGUGUGCCGUGUGCCGCUUGCGGUUAGGUCAGGUCAGCCGUGCGGCGGACGGACUGCGAUAUUUUUGGGAAUUUUCCAAGUACACAAACAGACGCACACAUUUUAGCCGUCGAAAUAUUAUCGAAUCUAAUUAGACGCGUGUUCGCGUUAUUUAUAUUCUAUUAUUAUUUAUAUAUAUAUAUGUAUAUUAUAUUAUAUUUGCAAAUAUUAUUAUUAUAUGUUUGUUUUAUCAUCGGA